GCUCGGGUGGCGGAAUUGGUAUACGCGCCAGACUUAAAAUCUGUUGGCCGCAAGGCCGUGUGGGUUCGAUUCCCACCCCGAGCA
rnacentral:tRNA from 1 species